rnacentral:lncRNA from 1 species
UAUAACAGAAACACAACAACAAGAAUCACAAUGGUCGUGGGGGCGAUCGCCUGACCGCGUUCAGAGACCUCACCCAACACUACAGACUCGAAAGACGCA